UGAGGAAUCUUGCGCAAUGGGGGAAACCCUGACGCAGCAACGCCGCGUGAGUGAGGAAGGUCUUCGGGUCGUAAAGCUCUGUCAGGCGGGAAGAAAUGCAUGGAGGUGAACAGCCGCCAUGCUUGACGGUACCGCCAGAGGAAGCACCGGCUAACUCCGUGCCAGCAGCCGCGGUAAUACGGGGGGUGCAAGCGUGGUCCGGAUUCAUUGGCCGUAAAGAGCGUGUAGGCGGCUUGGUAGGUCAGAUGUGAAAGCCCUGGGCUCAACCCGGGAAGUGCAUUUGAAACUGCCAGGCUCGAGUAGGGGAGAGGGAAGUGGAAUUCCUGGUGUAGAGGUGAAAUUCGUAGAUAUCAGGAGGAACACCGGUGGCGAAGGCGACUUCCUGGCCCUAUACUGACGCUGAGACGCGAGAGCGUGGGUAGCAAACAG
rnacentral:rRNA from 1 species